GGCUGCUCUCGCCGAUAGGUCUGUGCGGCGCUGCAUGAAGUCGAACGCACCUUUAAUUUUCGUUGACGAAACCCAGCAAACAAUGACAAACAAUGACCUGGCGGUCCACCAGCGUUUUUUGGGCGGCACAAAUUCAGCGGCUUAAUACGGUCGGAACACCAUCGGCGAGCCGACCAAUCUAAAAACGCUGUCGGUCAGCAGGCGUUUUUUUGGGUGGCACGCCACCAGCGGUCUGCCGCGGCUGGGCCUCCGUCGGUGCACCAGUGGCAAGCCUUCUGUCCCGUGUUUCUACUGAGCUCUUACAUGACAUCUUUGUUUUAUAAAUUAUAUAUAUUACAUUUAUGUUUUACAUUACAUUUUUACAGUUAAAAGGAAUCUGAAGCAGAAUAAAAAUAGUGAGAGUUAUAAUUAUUAACAAAAGUUUAGUAUAAAAACUGCAAGCACAUUUUUAAAUGAAAUAAAUAGUUUGAACGAUUGUAAAAACAACAAUACAAAAUCUAAUAAAAAAAAAAAAAGCAAAAAAAAAAAUCUAUAAAAAUUAAAUAAAAAUAAAAGUGCUACUUUGUCCCACUAUCACGUGCGGGUUGCAGUUUACACCUAUGUAUGAAUGGGUCAUAUAACUACAAAAAGAUUAAAAUUCAAAAUUAAAUAAUUUUUUUGUUUUUGUUUUAUAUAAUGUUUAUUUAAAUUGUGCGUGACUGUGACAUGUUUUGACGGACUCCAGCUCUGAGUCUCAUUCAAACGCUGCAGGGAGGGAGUUACCAUGGAAAUGGGGCGGCAACUCUCCAACCGACAGCUGCAGCACUGCGUCUCUUGCUGCUGUUUUCACCGUUUUCAGGAGUAACACUUCUACAACAGAAGAGAAGCUUCAAGAUAUCUAAAUUUCUGAAGGAAGGUGCUGACAGAGAUGUGGGAAACAUAGGUUUCCCAUCCCAGUGUUACUACAGUUUGGAUCCAGCCUCACUUGUGGUUACUUCAGAUGAAGACCCCAGAUGAUGGCAACUAUAGAUGAACAUACCAACCUGACAAAUGUUAUGUAUUGCAAUCAUUGCCUUAAAGCAUACGUUGAGUGAUUUUCAACCCACUUUGUAUUGUUACUAUGAUGGUAAUAUAUGUGAACGAACAAUGUUUAAUCUUUCUCUGAGUUCCAUGAGAUACACCCAUUUAUUUGUCAGCCAAAGAAUAUUUUGCAUUAUCUGAAUAUUGAUUAUUUACAUAUUACAGACUUUGUGGCAGUAUAAAGUGGAUUUAAAUUCACCAAACUUACCCUUUAAUGUUUGUCUGUUUAACUGAACAUGACUUUGAACACAUAACUUGUAUUAUCUUAGAGUUAUUGACAUAUAGACAUUAAUUUGUUGCCAGAAGAUGCUCCCCAUUGAGUCACAGUCACCUCUGGCUGUUGAUAGGAAUUUUUUUUUGAAACUUUGAAAUUUUCUAAAGCUGCUUUGAUUGUGAAAAGCAGUGUACCCUUACAACAGUUAACCAUGUUUUUACUAUGGUAAAACUAGUAAUCAUAACUGUAGUAAUCAGGGGUUUUUAGUUUUUCUCAAACUAAGGUUUUGAUAUCAUGGUUCUACAAUAGUAAUAUUUUAAUAAUGCUGGAGUAAAACUGUGGUAAGUAACCAUAGUUUUUGAAACCAUGGUGAAGUUUGUAGUUACUAUAGGUUUACUACUAUGCUGUAGUAAGACCAUGGUUAUGGUAGUUACUGUGAAUUUACUACAACAAUCAUAGUUAAACCAUGGUUAAUUUUGUGGUUGACUUUUGUACGGGUACAAAUAUGUGAAUUGAAUGCUUCUAUUUGAAAGUCACAUUGGAUAAAACUAUCUGAUAAAUAUACUGUAUGCAUUUGUAUGUUUAAU